CCUUCGGGUUGUAAAGCACUUUUGUCGGGAACGAAACGGGCGAAGCUAAUAUCUUUGUCUAAUGACGGUACCUGAAGAAUAAGCACCGGCUAACUACGUGC
rnacentral:rRNA from 1 species